GAUGAACGCUGGCGGCGUGCCUAAUACAUGCAAGUCCAGCGACGCGCGGACGGGUGAGUAACCCGUGGAUAACCUCCUCUCAGACUGGGAUAACUUCGGGAAACCGGCGCUAAACCGUAUACUUAUAUAUGGAUCCGCGCUGCAUUAUCUAGUUGGUAAGUUAACGGCUUACAAAGGCAACGAUGCAUAGCCGACCUGCGACCGGGAUCGGCCACACUGUACCUGAGACAAUGUCCAGACUCCUACGUGUGGCAGAAGUAGUGAAUCUUCCGCAAUGAGCGAAAGCCUGACGGAGCAACGCCGCGUGAUGGAUGAAGGUCUUCGGAACGUAAAUCUAUGUUAUUAGGGGAGCGGUACCUAAUCAGAAAGCCACGGCUAACGUCGUGCCAGCAGCCGCGGUAAUUC
rnacentral:rRNA from 1 species